UGGGGAAUAUUGGACAAUGGGGGCAACCCUGAUCCAGCCAUGCCGCGUGAGUGAAGAAGGCCUUAGGGUUGUAAAGCUCUUUCGACGGGGACGAUGAUGACGGUACCCGUAGAAGAAGCCCCGGCUAACUUCGUGCCAGCAGCCGCGGUAAUACGAAGGGGGCAAGCGUUGUUCGGAUUUACUGGGCGUAAAGGGCGCGUAGGCGGAUGCGUAAGUCAGAGGUGAAAGCCCUGGGCUCAACCCGGGAAUU
rnacentral:rRNA from 1 species